AUGUUGAGAUUUGAAAAAAAAAAUGUUUUUGUUAUUUGCUCUCCAAAGGAAACGUCAAAUGACCACCAUCACUAUGCUGUUCCUGUAACUAUUUGGUCUUUCAAAUUCAUAUGCAUUAAAGUCAGUGCAACUAAUCUAAGUCCUAAAUUACUUCCCAUUUACAGGAUGCAGUUUUACAAAACCAGAGGUAGCCGUCAAGUUGGAGCAAUGAAAAGGUCCAUUGUUGUUAGAGGAAGAAUUUCCAAGCAGGAGACAUGCAGUGUGGAGCGGUGUGAAACCUCAGAGGAUACAUGAAUAGGUCCAUAAACCUUCUCACACUGUCACCCUGGAAAUGGAACUCCAUAUG
rnacentral:lncRNA from 1 species